rnacentral:rRNA from 1 species
AGGAUCAUUAUUGAAAUAAACCUGAUAAGUUGCUGCUGGUUCUCUAGAGAACAUGUGCACACUUGUCAUCUUUGUGUCUUCACCUGUGCAUCAUUUGUAGGCCUGACUAUCUCUCUGAAUGCUUUGUUAGCACUCAGGAUUGAGGAUUGACUUUUUUGUCUUUUCUUACAUUUUCAGGUCUAUGUUUUUUCAUAUACCCCAAUGUAUGUUUAUAGAAUGUAAUCAAUGGGCCUUUGUGUCUAUAAAUUUUUACAACUUUCAGCAACGGAUCUCUUGGCUCUCGCAUCGAUGAAGAACGCAGCGAAAUGCGAUAAGUAAUGUGAAUUGCAGAAUUCAGUGAAUCAUCGAAUCUUUGAACGCACCUUGCGCUCCUUGGUAUUCCGAGGAGCAUGCCUGUUUGAGUGUCAUUAAUAUAUCAACCUUCUUUGGUUGGAUGUGGGUUUGCUGGUCUCUUUUUGAGGUCGGCUUCCCUUAAAUGCAUUAGCGGACAACAUUUUGCCAACCGUUCAUUGGUGUGAUAAUUAUCUACGCUAUUGACGUGAAGCAUGGGUUCAGCUUCUAAUAGUCCAUUGACUUGGACAAUUUUAUUUAUUAAUGUGGCCUCAAAUCAGGUAGGACUACCCGCUGAACUUAA